UGGGGAAUAUUGGACAAUGGGGGGAACCCUGAUCCAGCCAUGCCGCGUGUGUGAAGAAGGCCUUAUGGUUGUAAAGCACUUUAAGCGAGGAGGAGGGUACUGGUAUUAAUACUACCAGCUACUGGACGUUACUCGCAGAAUAAGCACCGGCUAACUCUGUGCCAGCAGCCGCGGUAAUACAGAGGGUGCGAGCGUUAAUCGGAUUUACUGGGCGUAAAGCGUGCGUAGGCGGCUAAUUGAGUCGGAUGUGAAAUCCCCGAGCUUAACUUGGGAAUUGCAUUCGAUACUGGUUAGCUAGAGUGUGGGAGAGGAUGGUAGAAUUCCAGGUGUAGCGGUGAAAUGCGUAGAGAUCUGGAGGAAUACCGAUGGCGAAGGCAGCCAUCUGGCCUAGCACUGACGCUGAGGUACGAAAGCAUGGGGAGCAAACAGG
rnacentral:rRNA from 1 species